UACAGAGACUGCAAGCGUUAUUCGGAUUCACUGGGCGUAAAGGGUGCGCAGGCGGCCAAGUGUGUCAGGUGUGAAAUCCCGAGCUUAACCUCGGAACUGCGCCUGAAACUACUUGGCUAGAGUACUGGAGAGGGUAACGGAAUUCACGGUGUAGCAGUGAAAUGCGUAGAUAUCGUGAGGAACACCAGAGGCGAAGGCGGCUACCUGGACAAUUGCUGACGCUCAGGCACGAAAGCGUGGGGAGCAAAAGGG
rnacentral:rRNA from 1 species